rnacentral:rRNA from 1 species
AUAUCAAUAAGCGGAGGAAAAGAAACCAACAGGGAUUGCCUCAGUAACGGCGAGUGAAGCGGCAACAGCUCAAAUUUGAAAUCGGGCAACCGAGUUGUAAUUUAAAGAGGAUGUUUCUGGCAAGGCCGCACCCAAGUCCGGUUGAAUACGGCACCAAUGCGGGUGAAAGUCCCAUGCGGUGUAGGUUGCGCUAAUGUGAAACUCCUUCUACGAGUCGAGUAGUUUGGGAAUGCUGCUCUAAAUGGGAGGUAAAUUUCUUCUAAAGCUAAAUACUGGCCAGAGACCGAUAGCGCACAAGUA